rnacentral:rRNA from 1 species
CGAAAGAUAUUCUAACAAAUAAACUACUUGAACCACGAAAGCUAAGAAACAAACUAGGAUUAGAUACCCUACUAUGCUUAGCCUUAAACUUUGGAACAACCCGCCUGAGUACUACGAGCCACAGCUUAAAACUCAAAGGACUUGGCGGUGCUCUACACCCCCUAGAGGAGCCUGUUCUAUAAUUGAUACUCCCGUUAAACCUCACCACUUAUUGCCAAUACCGCUUAUAUACCGCCGUCGUCAGCUCACCAUUUAAAUGAAAAAUGUAGGCAUAAUGAUAAACAUAAAAACGUCAGGUCAAGGUGAGCGAAUUAAGUGGAAAGAAAUGGGCUACAUUUUCUAAAUCUAGAAAAUACGAAAAUUUUAGUGAAAACUAUUUAAAGGUGG